rnacentral:tRNA from 1 species
GGAGAUUAGCUCAGUGGUAGAGCGCUUGCCUAGGAAGCGCAAGGCCCUGGGUUCGGUCCCCAGCUCCG